rnacentral:snRNA from 1 species
GGGUGUGGAGGUGAUCUGCCUGCAAUAUCUGUUACCCCACUGAUCGCCAGGGUUGAUUUGGUUGAUCUGGCUGGCUAGGUGGGUGUUCCCUUCCUCACUGCUUCAUGUGUGUCCCUUCUUAGGUUCCCCACCCCAUAGGGGAGGGCCAUUUCCUUGGUCAAGGGUAUAGGAGUAGUUGCGUUCCCCUGCUAGAACCUCAAAAUAAGCUCUUUAGUUUAAAAAGAUACCAAGUCUUUUUUCCUACCCUACAGCCAGGGUUGGGGAUUCAACCUAGAUCUUUUGAAUUGAUUUGCAUCAGUUGCUAAGUUGCCAGCACUGGGCU